rnacentral:tmRNA from 2 species
GGGGCUGAUUCUGGAUUCGACGGGAUUUGCGAAACCCAAGGUGCAUGCCGAGGGGCGGUUGGCCUCGUAAAAAGCCGCAAAAAAUAGUCGCAAACGACGAAAACUACGCUUUAGCAGCUUAAUAACCUGCUUAGAGCCCUCUCUCCCUAGCCUCCGCUCUUAGGACGGGGAUCAAGAGAGGUCAAACCCAAAAGAGAUCGCGUGGAAGCCCUGCCUGGGGUUGAAGCGUUAAAACUUAAUCAGGCUAGUUUGUUAGUGGCGUGUCCGUCCGCAGCUGGCAAGUGAAUGUAAAGACUGACUAAGCAUGUAGUACCGAGGAUGUAGGAAUUUCGGACGCGGGUUCAACUCCCGCCAGCUCCACCA